rnacentral:rRNA from 1 species
UACGUAGGGGGCAAGCGUUAUCCGGAUUUACUGGGUGUAAAGGGAGCGUAGACGGCGAAGCAAGUCUGAUGUGAAAACCCGCGGCUCAACUGCGGGAUUGCAUUGGAAACUGUUUUGCUUGAGUACUGGAGGGGCAGGCGGAAUUCCUAGUGUAGCGGUGAAAUGCGUAGAUAUUAGGAGGAACACCGGUGGCGAAGGCGGCCUGCUGGACAGUAACUGACGUUGAGGCUCGAAAGCGUGGGGAG